GACGAACCGUGCGAACGUUAUUCGGAAUCACUGGGCUUGAAGGGCGCGUAGGCGGGCAUCAAAGUCAGGGGUGAAAUCCCACGGCUCAACCGUGGAAGUGCCUCUGAUACUGGGUGCCUAGAGGGGUGCAGGGGCGUGCGGAACUAAGGGUGGAGCGGUGAAAUGCGUAGAUAUCCUUAGGAACACCGGUGGCGAAAGCGGCGCGCUGGACACCUACUGACGCUGAGGCGCGAAAGCCAGGGGAGCAAACGGG
rnacentral:rRNA from 1 species